rnacentral:lncRNA from 1 species
ACACGCAUCGAAGGGUGAGUGACCCCACAGCGACCCCAAAGAGACCCCAAAACGACCCCAAAGUGACCCCACAGCGACCCCACAGCAACCCCACAGUGACCCCAAAGCGACCCCACAGCGACCCCAAAAGAACCCCAAAGUGACCCCAAAGUGCCAUCAGUGGGACCCCAGAGACCCCAAUGGGACCCCAAUGGGACCCCAAAGUGACCCCAAAGUGCCAUCAUCAGUGGGACCCCAAAGAGACCCCAAUGGGACUCCAAAGAGACCCCAAAGGGACCCCAAAGCGACCCCAAAGGGACCCCAUGGUGACCCCAAUCGGACCCCAAAGUGACCCCAAAGGGACCCUGAUGUGACCCCAAAGUCCCAUCAGUGGGACCCCAAAGAGACCCCAGUGGGACCCCAAAGCGACCCCAAAGGGACCCCAUGGUGACCCCAAAGCAAUCCCAAAGUGACCCCAAAGUGCCAUCAGUGGGACCCCAAAGAGACCCCAAAGUGACCCCAAAGUGACCCCAAAAGAACCCUGAAGUGACCCCAAAGUGCCAUCAGUGGGACCCCAAAGUGGCCCCAAAGAGAUCCCACAGCGACCCUAAAGGGACCCCAUGGUGACCCCAAAGUGCUCCCAAAGGGACCCCAAAGUGGCCCCAAUGGGACCCCAAAGUGACCCCAAAGGGACCCUGAUGGGACCCCAAAGUGCCAUCAGUGGGACCCCAAAGAGACCCCCAAUGGGACCCCAAAGUGACCCCAAUGGGACCCCAAAGUGACCCCAAAGUGCCAUCAAUGGGACCCCAAAGAGACCCCAAUGGGACUCCAAAGAGACCCUAAAGGGACCCCAAUGUGACCCCAAAGCGCUCCCAAAGGGACCCCAAAGUGACCCCAAUGGGACCCCAAAGUGACCCCAAAGAGACCCCGAUGGGACCCAAUAGCGACCCUAAACUGACCCCAAAGUGCCAUCAGUGGGACCCCAAAGGGACCCCAAAAGAAUCCCAAAGUGACCCCAAAAUGCCAUCAAUGUGACCCCAAAGAGACCCCAAUGGGACUCCAAAGCGACCCCAAAGUGACCCCAAAGCGACCCCAAAGGGACCCCAAUGUGACCCCAAAGCGCUCCCAAAGGGACCCCAAAGUGCCAUCAGUGGGACCCCAAAGGGACCCCAAAGUGACCCCAAAGUGCCAUCAAUGUGACCCCAAAGAGACCCCAAUGGGACCCCAAAGAGACCCCAAUGGGACCCCAAAGCGCUCCCAAAGGGACCCCAAAGGGACCCCAAAGCCCCCCCUUUCCCCAUACCCCCCCCGACCCCAAUAUGACCCCCUGACCACAUACCCCCCCCGACCCCAUAUCCCCCCCAUGACCCCAUAUGAUCCCCCGACCCUAUAUGACCCCCCAUGAUCCCAUAUCCCCCCCCAAACCCCAAUAUGACCCCCCGACCCCAUAUCCCCCCCUGACGCCGAUAUGACCCCAUAU